CAUCUUCUGGCCGCCGUUAGUAAUUGCCGCAACCUUAAAUGAGGUGUGCUGUACGUGGGUUGGGGAAACCUGUUGAGGGUCGCGGUUAUAGCAGGUUUUUGGGUUAACUUUGCUAUCCAUAGUGAUGCAGCAGGAGCGUUAGAGAACAACAGUGGCCGAUUCUGGUGAUAAUAGGACCAUUCUGCUUGAUUGGGGGAACAGAUCCCCCCCCCAUUAAACCACCUGCUGAUCCCUGGCUACAUUUUUCAACCCCAGAGAGGCGACCGAGGCCUCAUUAGGUGUCAAGCGCCAGGAGGCUUUGAAAGGAGAAACAGUCAACGGAAGAUUAAAGUGGGGCUCGGAUCCGGCCCCUGCCCAACCUUAUCUGGGAAGCGGAAACGGCAAAUUGCUCAUAGAAUUUUGGCUGAUUUCAUUUAUCUUUUUUUUGUUUGCUUAUUAACUUUCUUUCCAGCUCGUGCCACGGAAAUAAGAUAAUGUCACAGCAAUAGGCGAUGUCGCAGAACAUGAAAUUAUGACCGAUGAAAAUCGAACAAAUCAGUCCAGCCCCCCUAGGGGGGGUUGUUUACGGAGUCACAAUCAAAUUUAAUUUUCGGGACACUCGCUUUGCUUGUCUUGCCAAUUAGGUUCCACCUAUCAGGCGUGCUAAAAAUGUGGCUUCAAAAAAAAUCCACAACUAGGAAUGGUUCUUAUUUUAAAUUGACCUCUUUGUGCUCCCUGUCUGGCAAUGAGCUGGCAAAGUUAGAGGCCAGAAUGGAGACGUCAUGGACACCUCUUCUGGGUACAGCAGUGACGGUCACAGACAGUCCUAGAGACCUACAGUUCGACAGUUGCUGUAGGUCUUACCUCAAAAACGAUCGAUGAGCUUGUCCAAAACACAGCUGUGGGAGAGAAAGACAUGCUGAUUCUCGUCGCCCGGGAGCCAGAAGCACGGGGUAGCGGCUAAUCUGCUCCACUUCCCUGACUGCAGGUCUUGUGUUUCAUCAAGCUAACAAAGCUCUUCAAACAUCAGAAGUGGAAUUUUAAUGACGUUCUUUGCCGCACUGUACAUGAACGGCAGUGUGGUAUACUUUAUCAUGAGAAAUAAUCUUGAAGUACCUGUUCAGACUAAUUCUGCGAGUUCUGUCUGAUGUGAUCUGUCCACUGUCUAGCUCAGAUAUUGCCUUUUAAGUUUUCCUGUUAAGCUGCUUAGAGUCGCUAUUUCCCUCCGCUAGGCCUUUCUCUUACCACAUAAUGAGUCCGUUAUAUUUCUGUGCUGCUUGAUUGAUUUGCUUUGAAAUUGCUCAGCUGGGAUGUUUUGAAGAUUCAC